rnacentral:rRNA from 1 species
AGGACGAACGCUGGCGGCGUGCCUAACACAUGCAAGUCGAGCGAGGAGAUUCCUCGGGAUGAUCCUAGCGGCGGACGGGUGAGUAACACGUGGGCAACCUGCCUCAUAGAGAGGAAUAGCCUUCCGAAAGGGAGAUUAAUACCUCAUAACAUUGCAGUUUCGCAUGGAACUAGCAAUUAAAGGAGUAAUCCGCUAUGAGAUGGGCCCGCGGCGCAUUAGCUAGUUGGUGAGGUAACGGCUCACCAAGGCGACGAUGCGUAGCCGACCUGAGAGGGUGAUCGGCCACAUUGGGACUGAGACACGGCCCAGACUCCUACGGGAGGCAGCAGUGGGGAAUAUUGCACAAUGGGGGAAACCCUGAUGCAAGCAACGCCGCGUGAGUGAUGACGGCCUUCGGGUUGUAAAGCUCUGUCUUCAGGGACGAUAAUGACGGUACCUGAGGAGGAAGCCACGGCUAACUACGUGCCAGCAGCGGC